rnacentral:rRNA from 1 species
GACGAACGCUGGCGGCGUGCUUAACACAUGCAAGUCGAACGAAGUGGCGAACGGGUUAGUAAUACGUGGGUAACCUGCCCUCCUUUUUGGGAUAAGCCUUGGAAACGGGGUCUAAUACCGAAUAAAGGGGGAUGGGCUCGCGGCCUAUCAGCUUGUUGGUGGGGUGAUGGCCUACCAAGGCGGUGACGGGUAGCUGGCCUGAGAGGGGGACCGGGCACAUUGGGACUGCGAGACGGCCCAGACGCCUACGGGGGGGAGCAGUGGGGGAUAUUGCACAAGGGGCGAAAGCCCGAUGCAGCGAGGCCGCGUGGGGUAUGAAGGCGGUCGGGGUGUAAACUUCUUGCGAUAUCGAAAGGGUAGGUGGCGAAGAAGCGCCGGCUAACUACGUGCCAGCAGCCGCGGUAAUAC